rnacentral:rRNA from 1 species
UACGUAGGGAGCAAGCGUUGUCCGGAUUUAUUGGGCGUAAAGAGCUCGUAGGCGGCUUAGAAAGUCAGAUGUGAAAACUCCAGGCUCAACCUGGAGACGCCAUUUGAUACUUCUAUGGCUUGAGUUCGGUAGGGGACCACGGAAUUCCUGGUGUAGCGGUGAAAUGCGCAGAUAUCAGGAGGAACACCGAUGGCGAAGGCAGUGGUCUGGGCCGAUACUGACGCUGAGGAGCGAAAGCGUGGGGAGCGAACAGG